CAAUAGCGUAUAUUAAAGUUGUUGCAGUUAAAAAGCUCGUAGUUGGAUUUCUGGGGGGAGCGAUCGGUCUGGCGCUUAGCGCGAGUACUUGCAUCGUCUCCGGCCAUCCUUGGGGAGAGUCUGUCUGGCAUUAAGUUGUCGGGCAGAGGAUCCUCAUCGUUUACUGUGAAAAAAUUAGAGUGUUCAAAGCAGGCUUAUGCCGUUGAAUAUAUUAGCAUGGAAUAAUAAGAUAGGACUUUGGUACUAUUUUGUUGGUUUGCGCACCAAAGUAAUGAUUAAUAGGGACAGUUGGGGGUAUUCGUAUUCCGUUGUCAGAGGUGAAAUUCUUGGAUUUACGGAAGACGAACUACUGCGAAAGCAUUUACCAAGGAUGUUUUCAUUAA
rnacentral:rRNA from 1 species